UACGGGAGGCAGCAGUGGGGAAUAUUGCACAAUGGGCGAAAGCCUGAUGCAGCUAUGCCGCGUGUAUGAAGAAGGCCUUAGGGUUGUAAAGUACUUUCAUCGGGGAGGAAAAACAAAACUAAUAAUUUUAUUUCUUGACGUUACCCGAAAAAGAAGCACCGGCUAACUCCGUGCCAGCAGCCGCGGUAAUACGGAGGGUGCUAGCGUUAAUCAGAAUUACUGGGCGUAAAGAGCACGUAGGUGGUUUUUUUAAGUCAGAUGUGAAAUCCCUGGGCUUAACCUGGAACUGCAUUUUGAAACUGAAAUACUAGAGUAUCGUAGAGGGAGGUAGAAUUCUAGGUGUAGCGGUGAAAUGCGUAGAUAUCUGGAGGAAUACCUGUGGCGAAAGCGGCCUCCUAAACGAAUACUGACACUGAGGGUGCGAAAGCGUGGGGAGCGAAACAGGGAUUAGGAU
rnacentral:rRNA from 1 species